rnacentral:rRNA from 1 species
UACGUAGGACCCGAGCGUUGUCCGGAUUUACUGGGUGUAAAGGGUGCGUAGGCGGAUAGGUGCGUCAGAGGUGAAAUUUCCCGGCUUAACUGGGAGGAUGCCUUUGAUACGGCUUGUCUUGAGUGCGAAAGAGGAUGGUGGAAUUCCUGGUGUAGCGGUGAAAUGCGUAGAUAUCAGGAGGAACACCAGUGGCGAAGGCGGUCAUCUGGUUCGCAACUGACGCUGAGGCACGAAAGCGUGGGGAUCAAACCGG